GUUGAUAGGAUAGGGCACCCUAAAAAACUGGGGAGAGGAGUUUGGGGUCGGGGCCUCGGAAAGGCGGGAGGUGCCCCACCGCUUUAGAAGCCCGGCGCAGUGCACGACGGGACGCCCCCGGGAAGGGGCGGAGCCGUGUCCGGGCUGCGGUUGGGAAAGCGCAGUCACUCCGAGGGGCGUGUUGAAGAGGGUUUCGCGGGCUCGAGCGGGGGAGGGGGGGACCGUUAAAACCCUGCCCCGCGCCGACAGGAAGCUGCUUUAAUGGCUAGGCCUACCUGGUACCAGGUUUUCGGCUGGGAAGGACCUUGAAGACCAUGCGGUUCAACUUCCAAUUUGCAGAUGUGGAAACUGAAGCCGAGAGAGGGAAACGUCUGGAGGAUGUGGUACACCAAAACAAGAAUAAAUCAAGAAACAGGAAGACGUGAUCCUGGAAACAGGAUAUUCAACAGAGGUGAGAAAUGAAGAGAAUCUUCAAGAUGAUGAAAGGAAAUCCCAGGGUGACAUAACCUGGCUGCAGGCCUUUGAGAGUGAUCAGGACUGGGGCAGGAGGACAGAAGGGACGUCUCCAAGAAAUCAGAUGGAAUGAAUAGAGGAAAAAUUUACACUUCUGGUGAUGGUGGAGAAUAAAUUCAUUAUAGGGACGUGGAAAA